rnacentral:rRNA from 1 species
AAUCAACGCUGGCGGCGUGCCUAACACAUGCAAGUCGAACGCGAAAGUUCCGCAAGGGAUAAGUAGAGUGGCAAACGGGUGAGUAACACGUGGGUGACCUGCCUUCGAGUGGGGGAUAACGUCCCGAAAGGGACGCUAAUACCGCAUGACAUCCUGCCUUUGAAGAGGUGGAGAUCAAAGCUGGGGAUCGCAAGACCUAGCGCUUGAAGAGGGGCCC